rnacentral:rRNA from 1 species
AUCACCUGUUGAAACAAUGUUAAAUUCACAGUACCCCACUAUCCGAAAUCAGGAC